GAAAAGAGGAAUAUGUGGAUGAGUUUUGCACCUUAAACUGCCUCAUACCUCAAGCCACAGCAUUUGCGGCUCCCCCAUGCCCCCCUCCCAUCCCCUUCUUAGGAGAGCCUUUAAUAUGUAAAUGCCAGUGAUCAGGUCGGGAGCUGCUACAGUCAAUUUCAAGUGGGGUGGGGUGGGGUGAGGUCAGGUGGGUGGGAGGGAGUGGGGGGUCGGCAGGCCUGUUUCUAGGAUUUUGGGGUCCCUAGGCAACGGGAUUGUUGGGGGCCCUAGGGCAUUUUUUGGCCUUUUACUAAAAUGUGUGUGUGUGUGUGUCUGUGUGUAUGUUUGUUCACGCUGCCCAGUGGUGUUUUUCAGAAUCACUAACCAUUAAACCAGGGGUAGUGAACCUAUGUCUCGAGGGCCCUUGAGGCCGUUUUAUCCGGCCCCUGAUAUCAUUAUAAUGUUUUGCAACUUCACAUGAAAUAGGCCUAUGACAUAUUUUGCAGGCCUAAAGGAAUCUUAGAAAUUACAUUUCCAAUGCAAUUAAGUUAGGCCUAUAUUCAGGGGACCUAGAAAAGGUGGGGACUGUUUUAAAUGUGUCUACCUUUAAAGGUGUCUAUAUGUCUAUAUAGGCCUAAUGGUGUCUAUAUAUGCCUAAAUUUCAUGGGGAAAUCCUGAUUUGUGUUCAUAGUACGGCCCCCGGAGGAUUUUAUGACCAUGGUAGGAAUUUGAAGUGGCCCUUCGAAUGAAAAAGGUUCCCCACCCCUGCAUUAAACCUUUCUUCUAGCCACAGCUCUGCUGUCAGUACAUUUUAUUAUGAUACUAUAAGCUCAGAAAUGAAGUUGAUCAAACAAUUCGGUGCUAACAUUUAAAUGAACCGAAUAGAAAUCAGAAUAGAAACAUCUGAAUGAUCUUUCUUGGACAUAGCCUACAUUUUGAAGUGACCCUUUGAAUUAAAAAGGUUCCUCACCCCUGCUUUUGAGGAAAAACAUCAAUGUGCUUGGCCACUCUGGUUUUUAAAUUAUUCUGAACUAGCAAGGAUUGUUCAAGGAAGUUCAAAACAGACUGUCUCUGGUUAAAUUAGUUCUACACCAAGCCUUUAGGUGGCAGUACAACUAAUUCGCACAAUGCGAAUUCCACACACAAGCCACAAAGAAGCCAUCUACCGCGGUCAACAACACCGACCUAUCUGAACAACACCACGCGCUGUCUGUGUGGUUUCACUGUUACAAGUUUCUUGGCGAUAUGGGGGAAAGUUCCUCACAUACCAACGGAAAAUGGGCUUCACAUACAUGCUGCUGUCUCAUAAUAUGGCGAAGACGAGUCACUUGAAGGCCUAACAGCUCUUAUGAGGAGCAGUCUUGCCAUAGAAGACUGAAAGAAUGUAAGAUUAACUUCUUUGUGACCAAUAUGACUUGCUCAUUGAUACAUUAGCUAUGUCAAUAUGAGAUGCAUGGCGAAGUAUUUAAUUUAUUUGUCUCUCUUCUAGGAGCUGUAGAAACAACAGGGUGCCUGCUGCAGUAUGACGAGGACGCCCUGAUCAUAGAAGGUCCAGUGUCUUGGCAGGGUGAAAUGGCACUGAUAUCGUGUCCUGCAGGAUGCUGUGUCCUGCAAUCCUGUGUGCUGUGCUACAGACGCGUGUGGAGGUCAACCCGAAAUGGGCACAGUAGAGUGAAAGAGGAUCCUGGCAGGGAGACGGUAGUGUCCUGCAGGAUGGUGAUGGGCAAUCUUACAAGAGACCACAGAAAACUGAUAUAGUGUAAGAUUAUCCCUGUUGGGCUCAAUAUGUCUUGCUUAUUGAUAUAUUUGCUAUGUCAAUAUGAGGUGCAUGACGAAGUAUUUAUUUAUUUGUUAUUUCUACAGCUCCCAGAAGUGAGACUGAGUGCCUGUUGCAGUAUGACGAGGAAGCAGUGACCAGAGACCUUCAGUAGACCCUGCUGGCAUGAUUGGCGGCUGAAGAACAUAAUCAACAGCAAUGUUUACUUUAUAAUAUUGUACAUACCUGUAUAGUCUGCACUAAAAUGCUGUACCUGUACUAUUUUUCCUCUUACUUUCAUAUUUACCACAUAUUUACUAUGAAUUGACAACUUUUACUCAAAUCCAUUUUUGUAUGUGCCCUGACUAAAACUAUCCUUAAACCUAACCUGUCAGAGGUGUAAUAACAACCUGCUCUUAGCAAUGUGGCAGCAGUCUACUUGGAUGCAGCGGGGAACAUAGAACCCUUUUUUUGAAAAAGCAUUGUAUGUUUCUGAGUUUUAUGAAUUGUGCCCUUCCCAAACCUAACCUGUCGUAGGGGCCUAUGAAAUCCGUUUUAUUUUUCCU